AUGAAAUCUCUUUUUUCCAGACCUGGUGUACCUGAUGAAGUUUUCACAAUGGUCCACAAUUCAAUGAAUUUCCAUCAUGAGUUCAUAAGAACAAAAUCUCCGGACUUAUAUUUCAACACAAUGAUAUCCAUGAAAACAGAAGAGUGCACCAAAGAAUGAGUGGCAGCACAAAAUGUUAGAACC